rnacentral:rRNA from 1 species
AUUGAACGCUGGCGGCAGGCUUAACACAUGCAAGUCGAGCGAGCGGCGGACGGGUGUGUCAUGUCUGGGAAACUGCCUGAUGGAGGGGGAUAACUACUGGAAACGGUACCUAAUCCCGCAUACCAUCAGAUGUGCCCAGAUGGGAUUAGCUAGUAGGUGGGGUAAUGGCUCACCUAGGCCACGAUCCCUAGCUGGUCUGAGAGGAUGACCGGCCACACGGGAACUGGGACACGGUCCAGACUCCUACGGGAGGAAGCGGUGGGGAAUAUUGCACAAUGGGGGCAAGCCUGAUACAGCCCUGCCGCGUGUGUGAGGAAGACCUUCGGUUGGUAAAGCACUUUCAUCGAGGAGGCGGUACUCGCAGAAGAAGCACCGGCUAACUCCGUGCCAGCCGCCGCGGUAAUUC